GGGCGUGUGGCGUAGUUGGUAGCGCGCUUCCCUUGCAAGGAAGAGGUCUCUGGUUCGAUUCCUGACUCGUCCA
rfam:Tetrapisispora blattae CBS 6284 chromosome 5, complete genome